CUGGAAGAAGCUGAUGGAUUUUUUGGACUGUGAGGCGAGGACGAGGAACUUGUGUCCAGGCCGAACGGGGCCGAGCAGGUUGUGAUCGAGGAGAUGAUGGUCAAAAAGCAGCAACGGAACCUCAUGACUGAGAAUAAGCCGAACGAGUAUCCCCGAACAGUGCUUCCUGCUAGUGGCGGGAACGUCCGACGUCCGAUAAGAUCAUUUGCUGGGGCACCCGCAGUGGAGAUUUCGUCCAGGAGUACGAACGACAUCUGGGCGCGGUAAACUCGAUCACCUUCGACGACUAAAACCUGGCGACGCAAAGUCUACAUCUGUUUCACGGCCUGUACGAGUAGCUUAGUGCCUACACCAACGUGCGCUGAUUCUCGAGUUUCUCCUGUUCCUCGCGGAUACAAAUAGUUUCGCGGGUGCGUCCAACGGAGGUCCGCUGUUAAAUCUGGACCAUCGCGAGGACAGCAUCAACAGUAAUGGUUUGCCGGCACCGGUGUCUAUGCUGGCGGAGUUCUUCAAGGACGGGCAACUCCAAUCUGAACAUUCCCGAGCCCGGCCUCAUCAAAGGGACUCUUCCGCGCAGUGAAUUGACCGGUCACGAUUGGUUCAGCAUGAUGCCCACCGACACAAGUCCUAAGGUCUGCAAAGUGCUGCUGCUGUUCCAUCUGCGCCAGAUCAACAACC